AGACAAAACUAGUCCGCGUGUUGAAUUCAUAGUUCCAUUUGCGGUGGCUACCGGCUACUUGGUUUAGCGUUUCUUCUUCUUGUUGUAUCUAUAUUCUUCUGUAUCUAUCUAUGUAACUAUAGCUUAGGGUUUCAUUCUGUUUGUAAGCAACACACUAUCAUCAGAUUCAUUCAGAAUUCCGAUAAUGGAUCGAAUCAUCGGCGACAAGUUCAAGCUAGGUCGUAAGAUCGGAAGCGGAUCCUUCGGUGAAAUCUAUCUCGCUACUCAUAUUGAUACGUUCGAGAUCGUCGCUGUGAAGAUCGAGACUGGUAAAACGAAGCAUCCGCAGUUGCUCUAUGAAGCCAAACUGUAUAAUAUUCUUCAAGGAGGAAGUGGUAUUCCAAGCAUAAGAUGGAGUGGUGUAGACGGGGAAGAUAAUGUGCUUGUUAUGGAUUUAUUGGGGCCUAGUCUAGAGGAUCUUUUUGUUUACUGUGGGAGGAAGUUCUCUCUCAAAACUGUCUUGAUGUUGGCUGAUCAAAUGAUGACCAGAAUAGAGUAUGUGCAUUCUAAAGGAUUCCUACAUAGGGAUAUCAAACCGGAUAACUUUCUCAUGGGACUUGGUCGGAAGGCAAACCUGGUUUAUGUAAUUGAUUUUGGUCUUGCAAAACGAUAUCGGGACUCCACAACCAAUCGCCACAUCCCCUACAGGGAGAACAAAAACUUAACAGGUACUGCACGGUAUGCAAGCUGCAAUACUCAUCUUGGCAUUGAGCAAAGCCGGCGGGAUGAUUUGGAGUCGCUAGGGUAUGUGCUUUUGUACUUCCUCAGAGGAAGCCUUCCUUGGCAAAAUCUAAAGGCUGCAACAAAGAAGCAAAAGUAUGAUAAAAUAUGUGAAAAGAAAGUAUCAACUCCUAUUGAGGUUUUAUGCAAAUCUCAUCCUGUAGAGUUUGCUUCAUACUUUCAUUACUGCCAUUCUUUGACCUUUGAUCAGCGACCUGAUUAUGGAUUCUUGAGACGCCUAUUUCGAGAGUUAUUUGCUCGUGAAGGUUACAAAUUUGAUUAUGUAUUUGAUUGGACAAUUUUAAAGUACCAGCAGUCUCAAAAGAGUAGAGUCCAGUCCCACAUAUCUCCGGUUCCUGUAACGAGCAACAAUCGGGCAAUGCCCAUGGAUGUUGAUAACCGACAAGGGGAUGUCUCAGCCGAGCAAAUUAAAUCCGACAAUGCUACUACUUCUGGCGUUAAGUUUCAAUUUAAAUCAUCCGUUGGUAAAAAUGUAGCUUCUGAAAACCCUCUUGGCAAAAAUAUUUUUGGUGAAGCAACCGUCCCUUCUACUUCAUACUCUUUCGAGGCAUCAAGAAGGAACUCCUUGAAGCCUUCCCCAUCCACUGAAGCUGCAAACCAUAGACAUGGGCAAGGGAGUAGUAAAAUUGGUCCUUCAAGUAGUCGGAUGAAUGUUCUGCACUUAAGUUCUGCUAAGUGAAUGCCUAAUAUGGUGUGAAUGUGAUCGAGAUGCCCUACAUACACACAUGGAGCCUGCAUAUUUAUGGAGUAUUGCUGCCAAUGGAGAUAUUACAAAUGUACUACAAGCAUCCGUCUAUGAAAUGGUAAGCAGCUUGUCCGAAUCAGAAGCAAAAGUUUUGGCGAAUGACUCCCAAAAUAACGGUUUCAUCAGACAUCAAAGGUUUUCUAUUUGAAAGACAGCCAGAUUCCAUCUGGUUAUAUUUCAAUGUUAUCAAGGGUCUCUCUUUUAAUCUCUAUUGGCUGAAGGAUGAAAUAUGUGGCCUAUUAGCAUUAAUAUGGAUGCUACCAACAUUGUCUUGUUUCAGGAUUUUUUUUUAUAAAAUCUAUGAGUUAAGAAUGAAAGAGUAAAAGACAUUUCUUUGAAUGCCAUCAAUUGAACACACUUCUAC